UGGGGAAUCUUAGACAAUGGGGGCAACCCUGAUCUAGCCAUGCCGCGUGAGUGAUGAAGGCCUUAGGGUUGUAAAGCUCUUUCAGCUGGGAAGAUAAUGACGGUACCAGCAGAAGAAGCCCCGGCUAACUCCGUGCCAGCAGCCGCGGUAAUACGGAGGGGGCUAGCGUUGUUCGGAAUUACUGGGCGUAAAGCGCACGUAGGCGGACUGGAAAGUCAGAGGUGAAAUCACAGGGCUCAACCUUGGAACUGCCUUUGAAACUAUCAGUCUGGAGUUCGAGAGAGGUGAGUGGAAUUCCGGGUGUAGAGGUGAAAUUCGUAGAUAUUCGGAGGAACACCAGUGGCGAAGGCGGCUCACUGGCUCGAUACUGACGCUAAGGUGCGAAAGCGUGGGGAGCAAACA
rnacentral:rRNA from 1 species